rnacentral:rRNA from 1 species
AUUGAACGCUGGCGGCAGGCCUAACACAUGCAAGUCGAGCGAGCGGCGGACGGGUGAGUAAUGUAUGGGGAACUGCCCGAUAGAGGGGGAUAACUACUGGAAACGGUAGCUAAUACCGCAUACUAUCGGAUGAGCCCAUAUGGGAUUAGCUAGUUGGUGGGGUAACGGCUCACCAAGCCGACGAUCUCUAGCUGGUCUGAGAGGAUGACCAGCCACACUGUGACUGAGACACGGCCCAGACUCCUACGGGAGGCAGCAGUGGGGAAUAUUGCGCAAUGGGGGCAACCCUGACGCAGCCAUGCCGCGUGAAUGAAGAAGGCCUUCGUGUUGUAAAGUGCUUUCGGUAGCGAGGCGUUAACCACAGAAGAAGCACCGGCUAACUCCGUGCCAGCAGCCGCGGUAAUUC